rnacentral:rRNA from 1 species
ACGGGUGAGUAACACGUGGAUAACCUACCUAUAAGACUGGGAUAACUUCGGGAAACCGGAGCUAAUACCUGAUAACAUAUUGAACCGCAUGGUUCAAUAGUGAAAGGCGGCUUUGCUGUCACUUAUAGAUGGAUCCGCGCCGUAUUAGCUAGUUGGUAAGGUAACGGCUUACCAAGGCAACGAUACGUAGCCGACCUGAGAGGGUGAUCGGCCACACUGGAACUGAGACACGGUCCAGACUCCUACGGGAGGCAGCAGUAGGGAAUCUUCCGCAAUGGGCGAAAGCCUGACGGAGCAACGCCGCGUGAGUGAUGAAGGUCUUCGGAUCGUAAAACUCUGUUAUCAGGGAAGAACAAAUGUGUAAGUAACUGUGCACAUCUUGACGGUACCUGAUCAGAAAGCCACGGCUAACUACGUGCCAGCAGCCGCGGUAAUACGUAGGUGGCAAGCGUUAUCCGGAAUUAUUGGGCGUAAAGCGCGCGUAGGCGGUUUUUUAAGUCUGAUGUGAAAGCCCACGGCUCAACCGUGGAGGGUCAUUGGAAACUGGAAAACUUGAGUGCAGAAGAGGAAAGUGGAAUU